rnacentral:sRNA from 1 species
AUCUAGGAUGUUGAGUAAGCUUGCAGAGAAGUACAUGUUGGUUAGGAUUUGAUUAUACUUGUUAGGCAUAUGGACUUAGUUUGGAUGAUCAUGGCAAUAGGCUAGAGAAUGUUGGGAGUUCCUUUGUUUUCAAAACCUCUUCCACGGGUUUGGCUUUUGUGUUUUGCUUGAGGGCAAGCAAAAACUAAGUCUGGGGGAGUUGAUAUAUCCCUAGUUUCACUGAUUUUAUCUAAGUUUUAGGUAUAGGAUUUUGAGUCUUUAUGUUGUUUCUUGAGUCUUUUUAGUGUCUUUUCAGGUAUUCUAUGCAGUGGGACAACAAUGGAGAUAAUGAGAUAUUUUGGAGCAAAAGCUGAGGAAAAGGAAGCUAAGGACAAUUUUCAGUUCCAGAUUAAGAGGAGUGUCGAUCGACACACUCCUGGUGUCGAUCGACACCAGUUACGGCCGAGCAAAGUUGAUAAUAUAUUUUUAGUCAAUUAUUCCUAAAACACCAAUCAUGUCAUUGUAGUAUUUUAGGUGUCAAUCCAAAUGGGUGUGAUGCAAACAGAUGAGAUGUGAUCAGAAGUCUCUAAGUCAAGCCAAGCAAUAAUAGAUUUGGGGUUUCUAACAGUCCUAAGCGAACAUGCAGAAAACAGAAGCAAUAACAGAAUUACUAAAAAAUCACUCGACCACAACAGGCUGAUGCCAGAAGUAGGAUGUGGUCGAGUAACAGGUCGAGUAACAGACAGGAUAUGAAACAGCUAUACUCGACUGCACAGUCUGUUGCCAGACACUGGGUGUGGUCGAGUAUACUGGUCGAGUGAUUGUAAAAACUAAGAAACAGGCAAUGAGAACGAUUAAGCGAUAACGAUAAAACAGAGAAAUAGGGUAGACGAGAAAUUCCUAAGGAUGGGGUAAUCGAGUAGAGUGGUGUCCUAGCCUAUUCGAAUGGUUAACAAGCGCAAUCAAGCUAUCCCUAGACAACAGGUUCAACAACAGAUCAAUCCACUCCCGUGAUAGAAAUCCUCAAGCAAAGCUAGCCCAAACUAAUUCCCAUUAACGGAAUCUAACUAUGCAGGCAAUACGAACAGACUGAUAAAGUCAAUAAACGCUCUAAACGGCCAAUCCCUUGGGAUAGAGACGCAUAUCUCAGGAACUAGUGGAUCAAGCAUUCCAUCGAACACCUUCUGGGUGCGGGAAUGCUUGGGAUCGAAUUCCAGUUGAUCAGAAAGAAAUAAGCAGUAAACGCAACUAGUCCUAAAGGGAUUCAAUCAAUUCUAAAACUUAACCAUUCUAUAGACUACGGAUUCCACAACUACUCUAUCCCAUCCCUAAGAAUUCUAAGUCACUACUCAGACAGCAUGCUCAAAGACAUAAACGCAGGUAAACGAUAAUAUUGCAUAAGUAAAGAGAUAAAGAGUAGAGAAACAAGAUGACUAAUGAAAUCAAACGCGGAAUCUCAAUAACUUGGAAAAAUCGCGAACUACAGGUUGCAGAAGCAAAAGCGGCGUAGUAGAGUAAAACUGAAAAUAAAACUGAAGCAAAAACGCAAUGUCGACUAGAUGUUUUAGGACAGAACCCUAAAACAUCUAUUUAUACCAAACGAAAUAAAAUGAUAGUAGACGGGCCAAUAACCUAAUCGCCCGGCCCAUAGAGUGAUAAUGGGCCGAGAUGGGCUUCGUGAUCCGAUGGAGGUCCAGGCCGCUUCCAAACACUUUGUCUUCUCCUCUUUUCUCCCUUGUGCUCAGCUUGUCUGGUUGAGUGCGGAUUUGAGUAGACUGUGAAGACGUGAUCGAGUGUCCGGUCGAGUGAUGGUGAUGGUGGUGAGUGAUGAUACUCGACCAGGGGGUCGAGUAACGUGGUAGAGUGAAUGGUCGAGUGUGGUCAGGUGGUGUGGCGAAGCGGUACUCGACCGGGGGUCGAGUAAUGUCGUCGAGUGGCCUGAGCUGAGGUUACUCGACCUGGUGGUCGAGUGGACGGGAAGAAUGGCUCCAAAGUCACUCGACCUGGGGGUCGAGUAUGUGGGAAGAAUGGCUCCAAAGUCACUCGGCCUGGGGGUCGAGUAUGUCUUCUGGUUCUGGCUCGUUUCUUCCAAUUUGCUCGCAAACAGCUCCAAAUCACCUGAAAACAACUCAGAAAUGCAAUAUGUAUGCAAAGCUAUCCUAAUCAUGCAAAGUGUGCAAGAAUGAUGAGAAAUGAUAUAAAACAGUGAUGAAUGAUACGAAACUAGACUCAAAGUGAUGAUGAAUAGACACUGAAAACAUGCAAAUUAUAGACAUAUCAACUCCCCCAAACUUAGUCUUUGCUUGCCCUCAAGCAAAUAAGAAGACAUAGUUGAAGGAGAGGAGUGAAGGCGGGGACUCAGAACCAAAGCAUAUGAUAGAGCAAAUAAAAUCAAUGUCCAAGUUGGUAGUUCUAAGAUGCGAUAUGAUUGAAUUCCACUCAAAAACGUUAGCCAUGCCUUGUUAUCAAUAAAUCCGUCUCUUAUACUCGACCUACACAUGUUUUCAAAUCUACCAAUCCCUUUAACAUUCAUUAGUUCUGGAACGUGAAUCAAGCAAUGCAUCAUCAAUGAACUCAUUUGGCUAAGGUGAAGGUCAAGAGACAAAGAUGGUCCCCUACAGAAUAGGCUUAAGUAACAGGGGAUCCCUCAAGAAUGAUUGAGCUUUAGUAGAAUGCUAAAGGUAAGUCCCAAGUUAUGCAUACAGAGAUAAGAUCCCAUCUACCCAGAGUAUAACAAUGAAGCUCUAAUGGUAAUCCCAACUCCUGUCCCAACUUAACUCUACCCUUUGCACUCAUGAAUCUUUCAAACUCUUUUUCAUAUCAUUCUUUUUUU